AUACAGAGGGUGCGAGCGUUAAUCGGAUUUACUGGGCGUAAAGCGCGCGUAGGUGGCUAAUUAAGUCAAAUGUGAAAUCCCCGGGCUUAACUUGGGAAUUGCAUUCGAUACUGGUUAGCUAGAGUAUGGGAGAGGAUGGUAGAAUUCCAGGUGUAGCGGUGAAAUGCGUAGAGAUCUGGAGGAAUACCGAUGGCGAAGGCAGCCAUCUGGCCUAAUACUGACACUGAGGUGCGAAAGCAUGGGGAGCAAACAGGAUUAGAUACCCUGGUAGUCCAUGCCGUAAACGAUGUCUACUAGCCGUUGGGGGAUUUGAUCCUUUAGUGGCGCAGCUAACGCGAUAAGUAGACCGCCUGGGGAGUACGGUCGCAAGACUAAAACUCAAAUGAAUUGACGGGG
rnacentral:rRNA from 1 species